rnacentral:rRNA from 1 species
GAUGAACGCUGGCGGCGUGCCUAAUACAUGCAAGUCGAGCGAACGGACGAGAAUCUUGCUUCUCUGAUGUUAGCGGCGGACGGGUGAGUAACACGUGGAUAACCUACCUAUAAGACUGGUAUAACUUCGGGAAACCGGAGCUAAUACCGGAUGAUCUUUUGAACCGCAUGGUUCAAAAGUGAAAGACGGUCUUGCUGUCACUUAUAGAUGGAUCCGCGCUGCAUUAGCUAGUUGGUAAGGUAACGGCUUUCCAAGGCAACGAUGCAUAGCCGACCUGAGAGGGUGAUCGGCCACACUGGAACUGGAACACGGUCCAGACUCCUACGAGAGGCAGCAGUCGGGAAUCGGCGGCAGUAGGCGGAAGCCUGACAGAGCAGCGCGAAGUGAGUGGUGAAGGCCUUCGGAUCGUAAUGCUCUGUUAUGAGGUGGAAACAUAUGUGUAAGUAACUGUGGACAUCUUGACGGUACCGAAUCAGAAAGCCACGGCUAACUACGUG